rfam:Treponema socranskii subsp. socranskii VPI DR56BR1116 = ATCC 35536 strain VPI DR56BR1116 ctg120007787821, whole genome shotgun sequence.
GCGUUUAUAGCUCAACUGGAUAGAGCAACGGACUUCGAAUCCGUAGGUUGCGUGUUCGAGUCACGCUAAACGCA